AUCGGAUAAGUAAUAUUACCUUUCUUUUCAGAAAGUCUGUGGUUGCUGAAAACAGAUAGGAAUGGAAUAUGAAAUUCUACCGAUUGAUACAAUUGGAUACGAAUCAAGUGCACAGAUUGUGAAGCUGGAUGGAACCGCGCUAUUGCGCUCCAGCAUAUUGACAUCUGUGUUUUUUUCUAUUCAA
rnacentral:misc_RNA from 1 species